UGCACCGCCCGGCCCGCCCCUCUCUGCGCCGCCUGCCUGCUUGCAGCCAGCGGUGUCGGGCACGGAGAGCGGGCCGACACCGCACCUCCAGCGGGAGACGCUCCACCGCCCCCCGCCCCGCCCGCACCUCCCUCCUCCUCCCCACCCCUCGAUCGCUGCCGCUCUCCUCCCUCUUUCCUAUCCCUCGUUCUCUCUCUGCCGGCCUCAUCGGAGAGAGUUGUAGUUCCUUCGGGGCCUGUGUGGACUAAGGGCACAACCCGGCGCCUGACUGGCAGGAGGGAAAGCGGAGACUCCUUCAGGUUUCCAAAGAGGUCCGAGCGGACUGCAUUAGUAAGUAAAUGCUCCGUGCUCGGUUUCUGACCCUGUGUUCAUGGCAUAUACACACAAACGCAUGCACACAUAGACGUGUAUAUAUAUAUGUAUGUAUUUGUGUGUGUGGUUUAUGCUCUUAAGUCACACUGUUUGAUGAGAGAGGAACUUGGUUGUUGUAACUUGAACUAUUUCCAGUGGAAAAAGUGCAUGAAGUGGUUUGCUUAUCUCUUAUGAGGGGAAAAAAAA